GAAAGGACAUGUGUAAAUACCAACUCCCCUAGGGAUCGAUGGCUGUCUUCGGACUGGUGGACGACCUUGACCUCGUCCUGGUGGUCGGCCACGUCGAGGUCCCGUAGCUGAAGCAGGUGGUGCACUAGAUGAUGUUGGAAACGUAGAGGUCGCACCAGAGGUCGCACCAGAUGCAGUAGAUGAUGCAGAUUGGGAUUGAGGCACUGAAAUGGAAGCUUGAGACUUAGUUUUUCUUUGUCUUUUAGGUGGAGGAGAUGGGUAGCUUUCACCAUCAACCUUAAAUGUUUGAGAAAAAAAACGUAAGAUAACAUAACAAUUCUAAGUAGUUAAGGGAAAUAGUUACACUCACAGGUAUCUUCUGAGGUCUUCCACGUUUUCGUUUUGGACCUUCAACCACAAAAGAUUGAUUCUUACAAGUCCCUUUGUUAUGUCCAACCUGUUUGCAAUUACUACAAGUGAUAGUCCUCCUACCACGAGUUGUUCUAUUGGGCUUUGAUGGGGACUCAUGAGCUGGUGCAAUUCUCUUUUUCUUAGGACGUCCUGGCAUCUUUCUAAAUCCAGGAACACCAAUGGAUCCCUUACCAGUUUUAUUCCAAUAGAGCUCCCCAUUGACUGGUUUGAUGUUGUCCCUAUAUGUGUCUAUCCACACUGGAGUUUUAUAGUAGUUAACAACAUACCUGCAAAUAUGGAAAACCAAACACAAUUCAGAUUUUCUAGUAACUGACAACAUACAUCAAAGUUUUAUAGUACUUAACAUCAUACGCUAAUUUAUCAGAGUUUUGAAAGCAAAUUUGACUUACUCUUCUGGUUUUCGACGAAUGUCAUUGAUGACACAAAUUGCAUGGUUGCAAGGUAUACCAACCAGGUCCCAACGCCCACAAGCACACGUUCCCAUUCUCAGGCUGACCUCAUGACUUAAAUCAUGCACUAAAACCUCAUACAAGUUAUCACUACUUACCAUGAUUUGGCAGUCUUUGCUGUUUUUUCUAUUCACCUCCAACACAUCUGCUAUUCUUUGCGGGAAUUGCAUUAUACACUUGGCUGCCCUCUUAAACCUACGAGAAAUACGCAUCAUGGCUUGUCUUCUGAUGGUUUCCAACAUAUUAAUCAAAGGCAAUUCUCUAGCCUUUUUGAUGGUCCGGUUGAAGCUUUCUGAAAGGUUGUUGCAAACAUUAGCCGACCUUCCUGUUUUUGAGAAGAAAGCUCGACACCAAUGUUCUGGUUCUGCAGCCAACAAUGCUUCAUACGCCUCUCUGUCAUAUAAAAGCAGCUCGUCCAUGUGCAUUUUAUACUCUCCUUUAGUGUAACUAUAUGCCACUUUCUAGAAGAAAGGCUUAUAGUCAAGAUCCCCAAAUUUUUUCUUCCAAUUUCCAUACACAUGCCUUGCACAUACCCUAUGCUCAGCAUUUGGGAGAACAGUAUCAAGAGCAAUUUGUAAACCCUGCAAACAAAUGUUUGUAUUAGUGAAUAAAUAUACUGGUUAAUUUUUAAUAUGUUUGUAUAACCUGUCUUAGAAUUGAUAGUAAUUUUUAAUAAGAAUUUGGAGUAAUAUUCUUAAAGUUUUUUAGUUUUUUUUUGUUAAGUUUCCAGAAUAUUUUAGAAACUAUGUACUUUUUUGUCAAUUUUUUAGAAACUAUAUUCAAAUUGUAAUCAAACAUCUAAAGAAUAUUAGAUUUUCAAUCAAAAAGGGAAAAUAUAAGUGAUUAAUCAAUUAGGUAGUAGAAGGUUCUGAGUUUAAAUAAGAUUAUGGGCUUUAUAUAAAUUUAAUUUAAUAAAUAAGUUUUUUGCAAUUUUUCUUCCCUAUCUUAUUUAAAUUAAUAAGAAUUAUCAUUCCAAUUUAUUUAAAUUGUAUGUGUUGAUUAAAAUAUAAAUUUUUAUCAUUGUUUAAAAUAAUACAUAAUAAUUACCAUUGUAACAUAAGUGUUAUACAAAGUAAACCCAUAUAAUAAAUGAAAAUGUAACUAUAUUAUGUAUCAUCAAUUUUAUAAAAGAGCCAUUUUACAUUAUUUUUUUUAACUCAAAGACAUUAAACGAAGUAUGUUCGUAAUAUCAAUUUUUUUAAAUAUAGUGUUAUUGAUUUUUGGGUGAUUAAAUGUAUCACAUAGUUAGAUUAUAAUUAAGGUGUUUUGCAUAUAAAUUAGAACUAUAAUAACUCACAAAAGAAAUAUGGAAAAUAUUACUUAUCAUAAAUAUAGAGAAUAUUUUGUUGUUUAAUUUAAAUAUAUAAUAUCUAUAUUAAAAUUAAAUGUCAGUGGCAUAGCAUUGUAAAUAUGAUAAAAAACUAAUGUUAGAAUCUUAGGAGAGAUUCUGCUUUAAUAGUAUAGAUAUAAAGAAAUUUUAUGUUAUUUAAAACCCCAAAAACUUAAUGAUUUAUAAUUAAAAACCAUUUAAUAAUAAUUAAUAAUAAAAUUAUUAUCUAAAUAAUAAUAAAUUAUACUUAUGAAAAUUCCAGUUAUAAUAAUUUAAAUAUGAAGAACGGUAUAUGUUAAGGUUAUUUUAAAAAGUACGAGUUAUUUGUUUUCAUUUAAAACUUCUACAGUCUAAAUAAUAGGGAUGUAGCAUUUUGGACUAAAACAAAUAUAAAAAGGAAGUUUUCAUUUUUUUUGCUGUACCUUUGAAAAAGAAAGUUAUAUUCUGAUUGGUAAAAUUUUGCUAUAACUUUAAAUUUUAAAAAUAAAGCUAUAUCAUGAUUGGUUAGAAUUAGUGUUUUAAAAAUAAAUAAAUCUAAAGUUCUAAGUUAAAGCCCAACCAAUCACCCUCAAUAUAAAUCUUUUAACUUAUCUAUGUCAUAUUAAUAUUAUAAACAUUAAUGAAUAUCAAUAAUAUACACAAAAUUUUAAUUUAUGUAACAAUAUAAGUUGCAUUUUGUCUCAUUCUCCCCCACAAUUCACGUUACUCUUCUUUUUUUUUGAACAAAUUCUUCUUCACCAUCAUAAUUAUUUACAAACUUACCAUGUAUAUAAAAUAAUUUAUUAGACAUUUUCAUAAAAUUUUGAUCCACAAAAAACAAAAUAAAACAUUUGUAUAGAUGCACAGAUCAUAUUCUAAAAAUGGUGGUAAUACAAUUGACGGUUUAUAAGAUAAAAUAAAAUUCUUAAAAAAUAUAAACUAUAAAAUUAUUAUGCUUAUAAAUGUUAUUAAAUAAUUAUUUAACACAUGUAAAAUUUUAAAAUACAUAUUAUCACUUAGAAAAAAUAAAUAUUUAUUUAUAAAAAUAAAAGCAAACAUCCGCAAGGUCGUGGUUUAAAUAUACACAAAUUUAAACUCAUUUAUAAUUUCUUAUCAGUUACAUCAAAUUUAUAUUUUUAUAUUAUUUUCUUAAAAAUUUAAAUCUUAAUUUGUAUAUGUUACAAAUUUUAUAGAAGUUUAACAAUCAUUUUAUUUUCUUACAAAUAUUAUAGCUAAUGUUUCAUUUAUAAUUAGCAUGCUAAUUCACAAUUGUCUCGUAAUUUUUAUUGAAAAAAAUUUGUUCGCUAUAUAUCUUAGACAUGGAUCUUAUUAUAUAAAUGUUAGAUUUGUUUAUAUAAUACAUAAUAUCGGUUAUACAUUUUACGCUAAAAUGCUAAUAUAUAAAUUAAGUACAAAUAUAACAUUUACAUUUACAAAUAUGACUACAUUAACAAAUCUAUCUUAUUAAAGUAGAAGUAUUUUAAGCUUUUGUUUGGCAACAUAGAUAAAAAAUAAAAAUAAUUAACCAUGUUGUUUGGAAACAUUGAUAGUAGUAUAUUAAAAAAAAAAAUAAUGGGCUUAUCUUAUAAAAAAAUUGGAAGUCUGUUAUGUUAUAUUAAAAAGUAAUGAGCUUAUGUUACUUGAUAUACAUAGUUCAAAUUAAAAUAAUAAUUUAAAAUUUUUUUAUAUCAAAAAUUUAUUCAAAAAUAUACAUAUAUUCAAAAAUUGAUUUUUACUAAAAUAUUUUCAAAUCACCAUUAUAAUUGUUUUUUAAAUAUAUAUAAUAAAAAUACAAUACAAAGCUUAAUUUCAAACACCAACUUAAAGUAUGAUUUUUAUAUUUCACAUAAAAUUUUAAAAAUAUAAUAUAUGUGAUUACUUAUAUGAUGGUACAUAUAAAAUACUAUUAAUUAUGUGGUUACUUGUAUGAUGGUAUUUAUAAAAUACGAUUAAUUAUAUGAUGACACAUAUAUGAUAUAUAAUAGUGACUAAGGGUGGGCGUUCGGGUACCCAUUCGGGUUUGGGACGUGUCUGUUUGGGUUUUGGGUUUUGGGAUCAAAUAUUUCAGCCCCAUUCGGAUAUUUCUAAAUUUUGGCCUGGGUUCGGUUCAGAUCUUUGCAGGUUCGAUUUGGAAUAGAAUAACCCAUUUAAACUAUUUUAAUUUUUUUAAAUUCAUUAUAUGCUCUAAAUUUUCCGAAAUCCUAAAAAAAUAAUAAUAUAUUACAUAUAAAUUUGAAUAACAUAUGUUAAACUUAACAUAUAAAUUGGUUAGGUUUAAAUAUUUGGACAGAGAAUCAAUAAUUAUUUUAAGUUUUUUGGUGUUUUGAGUAUACAUUAACUAUUUUAUAUAUUUAUUUUUGACUAUUUGUAUAUAUUUUCAAGUAUUUAAACCAACUUCGAUAAUAAACUAGAGUUGGUGUGGUCCCUGAGAUUGUCCAAGAUCUCGUGCCCUGCUUCCUCUCACAUCAAAUACUCGAUUUGUGAAAGGACAUGUGUAAAUACCAACUCCCCUAGGGAUCGAUGGCUGUCUUCGGACUGGUGGACGACCUUGACCUCGUCCUGGUGGUCGGCCACGUCGAGGUCCCGUAGCUGAAGCAGGUGGUGCACUAGAUGAUGUUGGAAACGUAGAGGUCGCACCAGAGGUCGCACCAGAUGCAGUAGAUGAUGCAGAUUGGGAUUGAGGCACUGAAAUGGAAGCUUGAGACUUAGUUUUUC
rnacentral:lncRNA from 1 species